rnacentral:lncRNA from 1 species
CUUUUGGCAAAGGCGUCAGUUGAUUGCGUGCCUUGGCACGCCGCGCACUUCGCUGUUACGGAGGACCCCGCGCGCGCGCACAGCCUGCGAAAUCAUCACGGUACGUACAUCUAAUGCAUAAGUUGUUUAAUGUGAUGUGGUGAUAAGUAUUUAGUUCAGGGAGCGUCAGCGAUAAGUCAUCAGCAGGUUGUGGACCUCC